ensembl:snoRNA small nucleolar RNA U6-53/MBII-28
CUCCAAUGAUGAUCCAGCCAUGCUAAUACCGAUGCAUUAAGCAGACAGUGUGUCUGUCUUGGUGUAAGUGAGUUGAACUCAAAACUUCUCACACUGGGACCAGUGUGUGCUGAGGAGA